UAUAGACCCAGGACAGAUGAUCUGUGAAGCUUAACUAAUGAGAUCAGCUUAACUUAGAGGUUUUUUCAUUCAACUCGGCAGGAAGACUAAAUCUUUCUUGUGUGUGUCUGUGGCUGUGUGUACCAAGUAUGUGUGUGUAAGUGUGUGUGUGUGUGUGUUUGUGUAUGAACGUAAUAUGCAUGUGAGUGCGUCAGUUCUACUUAAUUAACUCUCUCAGCUCACUUAUUUAAACAUAGCUGACCUGCUCCAACAACUGUAUUACUUUCAGCACAAAACAGAUGAGUGUCUCCAUGGGAACGAUGGCCUCCUCCUCCAUAUUUGUCAGGGGUAAACAGUAGUUUUAAUGUCUCCACUUGCUGCACCUCCUUGGAGAAGAGGGAGACGUAUGUACAUUUGCAGAUUUUGGAUCUCUAGCAGGAGUCUCCAAAAUAUCCAGCGCAGCACGGCCAAGUGAUUUUAACAGAAAGACACUGCCAGGUGUUGCUGCUCUGGCUCCCUGCCUCCUCCCAUCUAAGGAAGAGCAGAAGCCAAUUGAAUUCAAGACCCAACACCUGCUUUCCUGAGUAAUGCAACCCUCCCUCAAGAAACCUGUUCAGAUGAUUGAUGCUCAUCUCUGCGAAGUAUGAGUGGAUGUUAAGAGGAUGCUGAAAUCCAUGGACCGACCAGCCAAGACAUGUAUGUCUGUAUUCUGUCUCUGAACAGUUGACUGUACAGUUUUAUUACAAAGGAAACAAAAACAAGUUAACAAAUUAUGGCAAUGCUCAGAGGUGGAAAGCCAGCAUGUGAUCAUGUCAUAUGCUUAGCCAAAUGAAGCACUGCCACAAUGCAGUACCAUGCUGUCAAUCCACAUGUAUCUUCCUUGAGAUGGAUGUAAGUACAGGGGAAUCAUCUAUUUCAAAUUAGAGAGAAAAAUACAAAGUAUCAAAAAUAUCAGUUGCAUUUCUCCAAAAACAAGUCAACUUCAUUUGUAUAGCACAUUUCAUACAAAAGGCUGAAUGUGCUUCAACAUAAAAAAGCAAAAAAAAGUAAUAAAACAAAAGUGGGCAAAGGCACAGGCUCAUAAUUAGAUUUCUUUCUUUUUUCUAUGCAGUCAUAUGAAAUUCAUUCAAUCAUCCAAUUGAUCUGCUGGACAAAUACCACUAAGGAUUGAAAUUAAUUAUCUUAAGUAAGUCUCAGUCUUCUCUCUUGUUCUCAGAAUCAAUCGUGACAUUUUGCGUUGUUGUGUGGUAUAGUGGCCUUUUAAUGACCAACAAGCAUAAGCUAUCAAAGCUGGUAAAAGCUGCGUCUAAGGUGGUUGGGGCACAGCGACCUCAGCCGCAACAUGUAUAUGAUAAACAGGUUAAGGGUAAGGCGGACCAGAUUUUAAACUGCCAUGAUCACCCACUCUUUGGGGAAUUUAAUCUGCUCCCCUCGGGUAGCCAUUUUAGGCUACCUAUGUUAAGAACUAGACGUGCCAGGUAUUCCUUUAUUCCUGUGGCUAUUUGUAUUGGUUGUGACAUUUUAAAUCAUGUCAAUUACAAAAGCCACAAUAGUGGAACUUACAUCAGCGCUUUACAGGUCAAGUAGUCAUGUUUUGGCCGCUGAGAGAUUAGAAGGAGGUUAUAGAUAAUCAUUCAGCUUGCUUUCCAUGGAAAAUAAAACAAGUUACAUGGAAUUUUAUGAAAAAAAUCACUUUUUCUGGGAUUCGGGGUGUUAUAUUGUGUCUCUGUGCUUCCACAAGCAUACAAGUUUG